UAGAAAGGGAGGCAAGAGAGGCAGAUACACUUAGGUUAUGAAAAUACAUCCUAACUGAUGUCUAAUUGCUUUUUAAUGUCUCUAAAAAUGUUUCUAUGUGGUAACAACUCUUCCACCAUUUUCUUUAAUUUUUCUGCCCCUAUCACAAAACAGUUUAUGUCAUAAAAUAAGUCAAAAUGAGUCUGGAAUAACCGAAAUCCCUCUGCCAAAUUGUCUCUGUAGGAAAAUGGAGAAAAAAUAUCUGGCCAUGGGUUUGACUGAUUCCUGUUCUUAUUAAGUAUGUAUCUUCAUGUGAGAGAGAAGAGACAGGAAUCAUUUCUUAUAUAUUACAGCUUAAUUCACUCAUCCGCUAGUGUUUCCUGAGCACUUUACACAUGCCAGGAAUAAUAAACACAGAAUUGACCACUUUUGUAGAGCUUAUAGUCUAGUGGCAGAAGAGGCAGAUUAU
rnacentral:lncRNA from 1 species